rnacentral:rRNA from 1 species
UGCCAGCAGCCGCGGUAACACGGGGGGCGCAAGCGUUAUUCGGAAUUAUUGGGCGUAAAGGGUGCGUAGGCGGCCUUAUAAGUCAGUGGUGAAAGUCUUCGGCUCAACCGGAGGACUGCCAUUGAAACUGUAGGGCUUGAGUACAGUAGAGGUAGGCGGAAUUUAUGAUGUAGCGGUGAAAUGCAUAGAUAUCAUAAAGAACACCGAUAGCGAAGGCAGCUUACUAUGCUGUUACAGACGCUGAGGCACGAAAGCGUGGGGAGCGAACAGGAUUAGAUA